GACGGCCAGGGGCGGUCGCCGGUGGCUCCUCGGCUACUUACCGGGGGAGAAGAGAACCGGGAUCCCGGGGCCCCGGACCGGACCGCGGAGAUGCCCCAAACUGACACGGCCGCCAUCUUGGAGACAAUUCCAUGCUCAUGAACCACCUCUAGUGCUCAUGAAUAGAUUAAAGCCGACCAUUUAUGUGGAAUAAAGUAUCUUCAUCUGACUCAGGCAGCUGGACAGAGAGAAGAGCAGAAAUUCAUUAACAUGUGGUUAAGUUAAGUCAAAGGUACCCUGGAUAGCUUGCUCUCACAUCCAGUGCAGCUGUGAUCCUAGGACCUUUCCGAAGGUCACAGUCUUGUGGUUCAUGGUUUCAAGCCCCAAGUCAAGC